UGUGGCAGCGACGUCGACAUCAGCUGUGUGUUUGGCUACGUGUAUGCGUGUGUGUUUGUGUUGGUGUAGCAACAUUUUCAUUGUGCGCCUGUGUGCGUGUGUGUGUUUGCUUGCCAAAAAGUAAAACACACACGCCCCUACCGAUGGGCAUCUGGGAGAACAGCUGUGCGUCACCCACAGCAGCAGAAGCACUUUGUUUGUUUGAGACGCAAAAGCGAAAAUCUCCACAAACAUAGCCUUGCAUAGAUAUAUACACACAUACACUUGUGCUUAUAUACAUACAUAUGUAUAUGUACAUAAUGGAUUCUGCUGGACUUACCGUCUUUGGAAAAAAUGAUGCCUCCAUGCCCAACAACAAUUGGCCGCAGCUCUGCGGUCUCGAGAAUCGAGAUAGUCGAAUAUUUGAUUUAGUGCCACCGCUGGUAUUGUAUGCCAUUGGGGUAUAUUCAUAACUUUAACUAUAUAAUCCCAAAUAAAUCCGUGUCUUUACUUUAUUGAACUUGUUAAUUUUACUUUUGUGCGACCGAACGGUGCGACGCAACAUCGACCAA